UUCGCCCUUAGAGUUUGAUCCUGGCUCAGGACGAACGCUGGCGGCGUGCUUAACACAUGCAAGUCGAACGAAGAAGAGUUGAAUGAGAGCUUCGGCAGGAUUUCUUCUCAUCUUAGUGGCGGACGGGUGAGUAACGUGUGGGCAACCUGCCCUAUACUGGGGAAUAAUCACUGGAAACGGUGACUAAUACCGCAUGUCAUCACCGGAGGGCAUCCUCUGGUGAAAAAAGGAUUUAUUCGGUAUAGGAUGGGCCCGCAUCUGAUUAGCUAGUUGGUGAGAUAACAGCCCACCAAGGCGACGAUCAGUAGCCGACCUGAGAGGGUGACCGGCCACAUUGGAACUGAGAUACGGUCCAGACUCCUACGGGAGGCAGCAGUGGGGAAUAUUGGGCAAUGGGCGCAAGCCUGACCCAGCGACGCCGCGUGAAGGAAGACGGUCUUCGGAUUGUAAACUUUAGUACCCAGGGACGAAAUAAUGACGGUACCUGGGGUUAAGCCACGGCUAACUACGUGCCAGCAGCCGCGGUAAUACGUAGGUGGCAAGCGUUAUCCGGAUUUACUGGGUGUAAAGGGUGUGUAGGCGGGUAUGUAAGUCAGAUGUGAAAAUUAUGGGCUCAACCCAUAACCUGCAUUUGAAACUGCGUAUCUUGAGAGUCGGAGAGGUAAGUGGAAUUCCCGGUGUAGCGGUGAAAUGCGUAGAGAUCGGGAGGAACACCAGUGGCGAAGGCGACUUACUGGACGACAACUGACGCUGAGACACGAAAGUGUGGGGAGCAAACAGGAUUAGAUACCCUGGUAGUCCACACUGUAAACGAUGAACACUAGGUGUGGGUGAGCAAUCAUCCGUGCCGCAGUUAACACAAUAAGUGUUCCACCUGGGGAGUACGGCCGCAAGGUUGAAACUCAAAGGAAUUGACGGGAGCCCGCACAAGCAGUGGAGUAUGUGGUUUAAUUCGACGCAACGCGAAAAACCUUACCAGAACUUGACAUCCCCGGCUAUUCCCGUAAUGGGGAAGUUCGAGACCUUCGGGUCUUGACCGGGUGACAGGUGGUGCAUGGUUGUCGUCAGCUCGUGUCGUGAGAUGUUGGGUUAAGUCCCGCAACGAGCGCAACCCUUACGGUUAGUUGCUACGCAAGAGCACUCUGAUCGGACUGCCGUUGACAAAACGGAGGAAGGUGGGGACGACGUCAAAUCAUCAUGCCCCUUACGUUCUGGGCUACACACGUACUACAAUGGCGAAAACAAAGGGGAGCGAACCCGCAAGGGGAAGCAAAUCUCAAAAAAGUCGCCCCAGUUCGGACUGUGGUCUGCAACUCGACCACACGAAGUUGGAAUUGCUAGUAAUCGCGGAUCAGCAUGCCGCGGUGAAUACGUUCCCGGGCUUUGCACUCACCGCCCGUCA
rnacentral:rRNA from 1 species